AAAAUGAAAGAAAUUACCUUUCCGUUCUGUCAGAUGGCGCCUUUAUACGUCGACCAAUCAGAAGUCUCGCUCGGACGAAACUGGGCCACUGGGGGUAACGGCAUUUGAGACGUGACGGUUGAAAUUGCCAGUUGCUUUGACAUUGCUUGUUCAAUUCGAACCAUUUAAAAACUCCUCUUGUUAAUCUCUUGGAAUAAUACCUGACGAUAAUAUAUUAACAAAACUUCAUAUUUUCGACCAAGAAAAUUAACAAUUAACGAAGUUUCUCCAUUUCUUAGCAGUGCCAUCUGUCUGCCAUCGCUACGUAUUUUAAAACAGAUAUUAUUAAUUUUUUUAAAUUAAAAAACUAUGACUUUUUUAACGCAAUAGUUUUUAUUAUUGCUUAAAAAUGUCUGUCACGUGACCAAACAGCGACCCUAGCAGACGAUCAGAGUUGUAGGUCGUCCUCGGAUGUGCAAACCGGAUGCGAACUUGCGACUACUUACCUAAUUCCUGUUCCUAUUUUUCGAUUUCAAUAUGAAGAUUGAUAGUCGUAAACAGAAUUAAUUUUUCGUCAUGAAGGAACCAGAACCGAAUCAUCAAUCUCAGUUAAAAUUAUUGAAAAAAGGAGCAUUUAUCUUUGGCGACAGUAAAAAUCCUCCGGAUCAGCCACCGCCUUGGUUGGAUAAAGAAAGAUUCUAUCGUGCAAGGGUUAUAUUUAAAAAAUAUUUCUUCAGCAUCUUCUUCAUUCAUCUGUCGGGGCUCAUGUUGACCAUUCAUUUACCUUCGAUGCUACCUCCUUUGUUGGCAACGGGAAAAUCUGCUAAUCUAAUGUGCUUAUUUCAACGUUAUCUCAGCACCAUGUUGCACAUCAGACGAUGGUACGAGGGAGACGUGUGGAACCCCGAAGAUCCGGCUCACAAAUCCAUCAUAACGGUUAGAAAAAUGCAUAAGAGAGUGGCGGACAGAUUAAACGAUUCCAAAGAACACGGCACCUGCCCCCUUUCCAAGAAGGACGUGGUUUACGUUUCUCAAUACGACAUGGCCAUAGCUCAGUUCGCCUUCAUCGGUUUGGCCGUACUCUAUCCGACGACGGUGGGCAUCACGUGUUCCAAGGAGGAUCUGGAAUGCCUAAUACACUUCUGGAGAGGCGUGGGAUACUUAUUGGGCAUGGAGGAUCGCUUCAAUCUAUGCCAAGGCACCUACGAAGAAACCACUAAUCUGUGUCGAGAAAUACUGGAAGAGGUGGUCAAACCCGCCAUCAAAUCGUCACCCAAAGAGACUACUCAGAUGAGUAGAAACGUGGUCAAAGCUUUAAACAGUUUUAUUAUAUUUUUGAGUUGGGAGGCCAUGGCCAAAUUCUGGUUUCAGAUCAUCGAUUUGCCCACGGACUUUGCCAUGGCCGUGAUGGAAAAAACCGGUUUCUGGUUGAUGUGGAUUACUUUUCGUUACAUUCUGCGCGUUGUGUACUUUCACGUUUUUUUUAAUUUUUUACUACGUUUUACUCUCAGGUACGUCGUCGUCAGGAAAUUGCAGUUCGAAAACUACCUCCGUAAAUACAUUAGUCCUGCUCAAGUUUGAUCGUUGUGCGGAACGUAUCUGUAUUAAUUUGGUGUAAAAAUAUAAGAUUUUUAAAUUUCACGUUAAUUAAAAUAAUAAUUAACGAACUUAAAAGACGAACUUUCCCACCAGUCAAAAGAACAAUGACGUUUUCAGGAUUAAUUUAUCAGACGUUUCUCUUUAUGCCCGUGUAUUUUUAAAAUAAUACACACAAUUUCACAAGUUUGUAAAUGAGAAUUUUGACAGAAUCAUAAUAAUUUGGAGAGUCAAGUUUUAAUUAACCAGAAUCAUUCUAUAAAAUGCAGACAAUUUGGACAAUAAGAGAUAAGAUUUUCAUCUUUAUAUUUCACUAAAAAAAUAAUAAUAAUAAUUUUAAUUUAUUUAUUUUUUUCUAAUUUAUUGAAAUCAAUUCCUUAUAUCACAGAAUGAAUGAUACAUUUUUACAUCACAAUAAUUCAAAUUA
rnacentral:misc_RNA from 1 species